CGUCGACGGAAGCGGAGCGGGGGGGUGGAAACCAACGAGGCGGCGGGGCGGAGCGUCUCCCGGAAGCGAGGUGAGGGCGGGGAGGGCGUGGCCACCGCCGGAAGCGGGAGGAGUAGAGGCGGCGUCCGCCGGCGGGCAGAGCGGCCUUUGGGGCGGGUGACGGCGUCAUGCCGCGCGCGGGACGCGUCCGGAACGAGACCUCCCGAUUGGAAGACGCCCCCCCACCGCGCCCUCCAGGUCAUCGCCAACCUCAGCUCGGAGUUCCGGACCCCCCCGCCGCCCCUCGCAGCCUGAC